rnacentral:misc_RNA from 1 species
GUGAGUCAUCGAAUCUUUGAACGCACAUUGCGCCCCCUGGUAUUCCGGGGGGCACGCCUGUUCGAGCGCCAUUUCAACCCUCAAGCCUAGCUUGGUGAUGGGCCCCGCCUGCUGGCGGGCCUGAAACUCGUGGGCGCCGUGGUUCGGCUCCAAGCGUAGCAAGACCCUCGCUUGGACGCCCGGACGGCGGUCGCCAGGGACGAAUUCUCACAAGGUUGGCCUCGGAUCAGGUGGGGAUACCCGCUGAACUUAAGCAUAUCAAUAAGCGGAGGA